rnacentral:sRNA from 1 species
GCCCUUAACACCCUGCUCAGAGAAGAGAUCUUGGUCCAUAUUCGGCAGCCAGAGGGCACGCCACUGAACCACUUUCGCAGGAUCAUCUGGUGCCCCUUCAUCCCUGAGGAGAGCGAGGACUGCUGUGAAGAGAGCAGCCCUACAGUGGCCCUGCUGCAUGAAGACCGGGCUGAGGUGUGGGACCUGGACAUGCUCCGCUCCAGCCACAGUACCUGGCCUGUGGAUGUCAGCCAGAUCAAGCAGGGCUUCAUUGUGGUAAAAGGUCAUAGCACGUGCCUCAGUGAAGGAGCCCUCUCACCUGAUGGGACUGUGCUGGCUACUGCGAGCCAUGAUGGCUAUGUCAAGUUCUGGCAGAUCUACAUUGAGGGGCAAGAUGAGCCAAGGUGUCUGCACGAGUGGAAGCCUCAUGAUGGGCGGCCCCUCUCCUGCCUCCUGUUCUGUGACAACCAUAAGAAACAAGACCCUGAUGUCCCUUUCUGGAGGUUCCUUAUUACUGGUGCUGACCAGAACCGAGAGUUAAAGAUGUGGUGUACAGUAUCCUGGACCUGCCUGCAGACUAUUCGCUUCUCCCCAGAUAUCUUCAGCUCAGUGAGUGUGCCCCCUAGCCUCAAGGUUUGCUUGGACCUCUCAGCAGAAUACCUGAUUCUCAGCGAUGUGCAACGGAAGGUCCUCUAUGUGAUGGAGCUGCUGCAAAACCAGGAGGAGGGCCAUGCCUGCUUCAGCUCCAUCUCGGAGUUCCUGCUCACCCACCCUGUGCUGAGCUUCGGUAUCCAGGUUGUGAGUCGCUGCCGGCUACGGCACACUGAGGUGCUGCCUGCCGAAGAGGAAAAUGACAGCCUGGGUGCUGAUGGUACCCAUGGAGCCGGUGCCAUGGAGUCUGCGGCCGGUGUGCUCAUCAAGCUCUUUUGUGUGCAUACUAAGGCACUGCAAGAUGUGCAGAUCCGCUUCCAGCCACAGCUGAACCCUGAUGUGGUGGCCCCACUGCCCACCCACACUGCUCACGAGGACUUUACAUUUGGAGAGUCUCGGCCCGAACUGGGCUCCGAGGGCCUGGGGUCAGCUGCUCACGGCUCCCAGCCUGACCUCCGACGAAUCGUGGAGCUGCCUGCACCCGCCGACUUCCUCAGUCUGAGCAGUGAGACCAAGCCCAAGUUGAUGACACCUGACGCCUUCAUGACACCUAGCGCCUCCUUGCAGCAGGUACUCUCCCAGGGUAGGGGGACCUGGGAAUGCCUCAGCCACAGGCCACAGGUCUUAUUUCCUGCAUCUCCCCAGAUCACUGCCUCUCCCAGCAGCAGCAGCAGCGGUAGCAGCAGCAGCAGCAGCAGUAGCAGCAGCUCCCUUACAGCUGUGUCUGCCAUGAGCAGCACCUCAGCUGUGGACCCCUCCUUGACCAGGCCACCUGAGGAGCUGACCUUGAGCCCCAAGCUGCAGCUGGAUGGCAGCCUGACAAUGAGCAGCAGUGGCAGCCUUCAGGCAAGCCCGCGCGGCCUCCUUCCUGGCCUGCUCCCAGCCCCAGCUGACAAACUGACUCCCAAGGGGCCGGGCCAGGUGCCUACUGCCGCCUCUGCACUGUCCCUGGAGCUGCAGGAAGUGGAGCCCCUGGGGCUACCCCAAGCCUCCCCUAGCCGCACCCGUUCCCCUGAUGUCAUCUCCUCAGCUUCUACUGCCCUGUCCCAGGACAUCCCUGAGAUUGCGUCUGAGGCCCUGUCCCGUGGUUUUGGCUCCUCUGCACCAGAGGGCCUUGAGCCAGACAGUAUGGCUUCAGCUGCCUCGGCACUGCACCUGCUGUCCCCACGGCCCCGGCCAGGGCCUGAGCUCGGCCCCCAGCUUGGCCUUGAUGGAGGUCCUGGGGAUGGAGAUCGGCAUAGUACCCCCUCCCUCCUGGAGGCAGCCUUGACCCAGGAGGCCUCAACUCCUGAUAGUCAGGUUUGGCCCACAGCACCUGACAUUACUCGUGAGACCUGCAGCACCCUGGCAGAAAGCCCCAGGAAUGGCCUUCAGGAAAAGCACAAGAGCCUAGCCUUCCACCGACCACCAUAUCACCUGCUGCAGCAACGUGACAGCCAGGAUGCCAGUGCUGAGCAAAGUGACCAUGAUGAUGAGGUGGCCAGCCUUGCCUCUGCUUCAGGAGGCUUUGGCACCAAAGUUCCUGCUCCACGGCUGCCUGCCAAGGACUGGAAGACCAAGGGAUCCCCUCGAACCUCACCCAAGCUCAGGAGGAAAAGCAAGAAGGAUGAUGGGUAGGGAGGAAUCCUAGGGAGGGAGAGGGUGGUCUCCAGGCUGCCUGACGUAGCCUGAGGUGCUUCUCGCCUAUGGCAGGGAUGCAGCCAUGGGAUCCCGGCUCACAGAGCACCAGGUGGCAGAGCCCCCUGAGGACUGGCCAGCACUAAUUUGGCAACAGCAGAGAGAGCUGGCAGAGCUGCGGCACAGCCAAGAAGAGCUGCUGCAGCGUCUGUGUACCCAACUCGAAGGCCUGCAGAGCACAGUCACAGGCCACGUAGAACGUGCCCUUGAGACCCGGCACGAGCAGGAACAGCGGCGGCUGGAGCGAGCACUGGCUGAGGGGCAGCAGCGGGGAGGGCAGCUGCAGGAGCAGCUGACACAACAGUUGUCCCAAGCACUGUCUUCAGCUGUAGCUGGGCGUCUAGAGCGCAGCAUACGGGAUGAGAUCAAGAAGACAGUCCCUCCAUGUGUCUCAAGGAGUCUGGAGCCUAUGGCAGGCCAACUGAGCAACUCAGUGGCUACCAAGCUCACAGCUGUGGAGGGCAGCAUGAAAGAGAACAUCUCCAAGCUGCUCAAGUCCAAGAACUUGACUGAUGCCAUCGCCCGAGCAGCUGCAGACACAUUACAGGGGCCGAUGCAGGCUGCCUACCGGGAAGCCUUCCAGAGUGUGGUGCUGCCGGCCUUUGAGAAGAGCUGCCAGGCCAUGUUCCAGCAAAUCAAUGAUAGCUUCCGGCUGGGGACACAGGAAUACUUGCAGCAGCUAGAAAGCCACAUGAAGAGCCGGAAGGCACGGGAACAGGAGGCCAGGGAGCCUGUGCUAGCCCAGCUGCGGGGCCUGGUCAGCACACUGCAGAGUGCCACUGAGCAGAUGGCAGCCACCGUGGCCAGCAGUGUUCGGGCUGAGGUGCAGCACCAGCUGCAUGUGGCUGUGGGCAGCCUGCAGGAGUCCAUUUUAGCACAGGUACAGCGCAUCGUUAAGGGUGAGGUGAGUGUGGCGCUCAAGGAGCAGCAGGCCGCCGUCACCUCCAGCAUCAUGCAGGCCAUGCGCUCAGCUGCUGGCACACCUGUCCCUUCUGCCCACCUUGACUGCCAGGCCCAGCAAGCCCAUAUCCUGCAGCUGCUGCAGCAAGGCCACCUCAAUCAGGCCUUCCAGCAGGCGCUGACAGCUGCUGACCUGAACCUGGUGCUGUAUGUAUGUGAAACUGUGGACCCAGCCCAGGUUUUUGGGCAGCCACCCUGCCCACUCUCCCAGCCUGUGCUCCUUUCCCUCAUCCAGCAGCUGGCAUCUGACCUUGGCACUCGAACUGACCUCAAGCUCAGCUACCUGGAAGAGGCCGUGAUGCACCUGGACCACAGUGACCCCAUCACUCGGGACCACAUGGGCUCCGUUAUGGCCCAGGUGCGCCAAAAGCUUUUUCAGUUCCUGCAGGCUGAGCCACACAACUCACUUGGCAAAGCAGCCCGGCGUCUCAGCCUCAUGCUGCAUGGCCUCGUGACCCCCAGCCUCCCUUAGCUGCUAAGCCUGCCUUGCCCAGGGGUGAGAUGGCACUGAAGGCCAGCAGACAGGCCUAGGCCGAGGCAGGGUCAUGGCUGGCCUUUACCUGCUCAGGCCCCCAUCUCUGGGGUGUUUGGGGGUCAGGGAGCAGGGAGCACUGGCCGUGGUCUACAGGGUGUGGUAGUCAGAAGGUUUAGGCUGGGCCCAGGGCAGGUAUUGUGCCUGCUUGGGUUCUGCCAUGCCUGGAGCAUGACCCUGAGAUCGUGACACCACUUGAGUGGAAUUUUCCAUGUUCCUUUUUACCUCUAAUUUGGAUCUUUUUGUUUUUGAAAAACAUUGAGAAAUUCAAUUAAAUGCUUUUGGAAUAA